rnacentral:rRNA from 1 species
AACGAACGCUGGCGGCAUGCCUAACACAUGCAAGUCGAACGAGACCUUCGGGUCUAGUGGCGCACGGGUGCGUAACGCGUGGGAACCUGCCCUUAGGUUCGGAAUAACUCCCCGAAAGGGGUGCUAAUACCAGAUAAUGUCUUCGGACCAAAGAUUUAUCGCCUUUGGAUGGGCCCGCGUUGGAUUAGCUAGUUGGUAGGGUAAAAGCCUACCAAGGCGACGAUCCAUAGCUGGUCUGAGAGGAUGAUCAGCCACACUGGGACUGAGACACGGCCUAGACUCCUACGGGAGGCAGCAGUGGGGAAUAUUGGACAAUGGGCGAAAGCCUGAUCCAGCAAUGCCGCGUGAGUGAUGAAGGCCUUAGGGUUGUAAAGCUCUUUUACCCGGGAAGAUAAUGACAGUACCGGGAGAAUAAGCUCCGGCUAACUCCGUG